rnacentral:rRNA from 1 species
GGGUGACUGCGUACCUUUUGUAUAAUGGGUCAGCGACUUAUAUUCUGUAGCAAGGUUAACCGUAUAGGGGAGCCGCAGGGAAACCGAGUCUUAACUGGGCGUUAAGUUGCAGGGUAUAGACCCGAAACCCGGUGAUCUAGCCAUGGGCAGGUUGAAGGUUGGGUAACACUAACUGGAGGACCGAACCGACUAAUGUUGAAAAAUUAGCGGAUGACUUGUGGCUGGGGGUGAAAGGCCAAUCAAACCGGGAGAUAGCUGGUUCUCCCCGAAAGCUAUUUAGGUAGCGCCUCGUGAAUUCAUCUUCGGGGGUAGAGCACUGUUUCGGCUAGGGGGUCAUCCCGACUUACCAACCCGAUGCAAACUACGAAUACCGAAGAAUGUUAUCACGGGAGACACACGGCGGGUGCUAACGUCCGUCGUGAAGAGGGAAACAACCCAGACCGCCAGCUAAGGUCCCAAAGUCAUGGUUAAGUGGGAAACGAUGUGGGAAGGCCCAGACAGCCAGGAUGUUGGCUUAGAAGCAGCCAUCAUUUAAAGAAAGCGUAAUAGCUCACUGGUCGAGUCGGCCUGCGCGGAAGAUGUAACGGGGCUAAACCAUGCACCGAAGCUGCGGCAGCGACACUAUGUGUUGUUGGGUAGGGGAGCGUUCUGUAAGCCGUUGAAGGUGGCCUGUGAGGGUUGCUGGAGGUAUCAGAAGUGCGAAUGCUGACAUAAGUAACGAUAAUGCGGGUGAAAAACCCGCACGCCGGAAGACCAAGGGUUCCUGUCCAACGUUAAUCGGGGCAGGGUGAGUCGACCCCUAAGGCGAGGCCGAAAGGCGUAGUCGAUGGGAAACAGGUUAAUAUUCCUGUACUCGGUGUUACUGCGAAGGGGGGACGGAGAAGGCUAUGUUGGCCGGGCGACGGUUGUCCCGGUUUAAGCAUGUAGGCGGAUGUUCCAGGUAAAUCCGGAACGUUACUAACGCUGAGGUGUGAUGACGAGGCACUACGGUGCUGAAGUGACAAAUGCCCUGCUUCCAGGAAAAGCCUCUAAGCAUCAGGUAACAUCAAAUCGUACCCCAAACCGACACAGGUGGUCAGGUAGAGAAUACCAAGGCGCUUGAGAGAACUCGGGUGAAGGAACUAGGCAAAAUGGUGCCGUAACUUCGGGAGAAGGCACGCUGAUGGUAGGUGAAGCGACUUGCUCGUGGAGCUGAAAUCAGUCGAAGAUACCAGCUGGCUGCAACUGUUUAUUAAAAACACAGCACUGUGCAAACACGAAAGUGGACGUAUACGGUGUGACGCCUGCCCGGUGCCGGAAGGUUAAUUGAUGGGGUUAUCCGUAAGGAGAAGCUCUUGAUCGAAGCCCCGGUAAACGGCGGCCGUAACUAUAACGGUCCUAAGGUAGCGAAAUUCCUUGUCGGGUAAGUUCCGACCUGCACGAAUGGCGUAAUGAUGGCCAGGCUGUCUCCACCCGAGACUCAGUGAAAUUGAACUCGCUGUGAAGAUGCAGUGUACCCGCGGCAAGACGGAAAGACCCCGUGAACCUUUACUAUAGCUUGACACUGAACACUGGUCCUUGAUGUGUAGGAUAGGUGGGAGGCUUUGAAGUGUGGACGCCAGUCUGCAUGGAGCCAUCCUUGAAAUACCACCCUUUAAUGGCUGGUGUUCUAACGUGGGCCCCUAAUCGGGGUUGCGGACAGUGUCUGGUGGGUAGUUUGACUGGGGCGGUCUCCUCCUAAAGAGUAACGGAGGAGCACGAAGGUCAGCUAAUCCUGGUCGGACAUCAGGAGGUUAGUGCAAUGGCAUAAGCUGGCUUGACUGCGAGCGUGACGGCGCGAGCAGGUGCGAAAGCAGGUCAUAGUGAUCCGGUGGUUCUGAAUGGAAGGGCCAUCGCUCAACGGAUAAAAGGUACUCCGGGGAUAACAGGCUGAUACCGCCCAAGAGUUCAUAUCGACGGCGGUGUUUGGCACCUCGAUGUCGGCUCAUCACAUCCUGGGGCUGAAGUAGGUCCCAAGGGUAUGGCUGUUCGCCAUUUAAAGUGGUACGCGAGCUGGGUUUAGAACGUCGUGAGACAGUUCGGUCCCUAUCUGCCGUGGGCGCUGGAGAAUUGAGGGGGGCUGCUCCUAGUACGAGAGGACCGGAGUGGACGCAUCACUGGUGUUCGGGUUGUCAUGCCAAUGGCAUUGCCCGGUAGCUAAAUGCGGAAGAGAUAAGUGCUGAAAGCAUCUAAGCACGAAACUUGCCCCGAGAUGAGUUCUCCCUGACCCUUUAAGGGUCCUGAAGGAACGUUGAAGACGACGACGUUGAUAGGCCGGGUGUGUAAGCGCAGCGAUGCGUUGAGCUAACCGGUACUAAUGAACCGUGAGGCUUAACC